AUGAACGCUGGCGGCGUGCCUAAUACCUGCAAGUCGCGCGAACGGACGAGAAGCUUGCUUCUCUGAUGUUAGCGGCGGACGGGUGAGUAACACGUGGAUAACCUACCUAUAAGACUGGGAUAACUUCGGGAAACCGGAGCUAAUACCGGAUGAUAUUUUGAACCGCAUGGUUCAAAAGUGAAAGACGGUCUUGCUGUCACUUAUAGAUGGACCCGCGCUGCUUUAGCUAGUUGGUAAGGUAACGGCUUACCAAGGCAACGAUGCAUAGCCGACCUGAGAGGGGAAUCGUCCCCCUGGGAACUGGGCCACGGGCCAGGCCCCUCCGGGGGCCCGGAGGAGGAAAUCUUCCGCAGUGGGCGAAAGCCUGACGGGGCAACGCCGCGUGGGUGAAGAAGGCCUUCGGGUCGUAAAACUUUUUUAUUAGGGAAGAACAUAUUUGUAAGUAAAUGGCCCCUUUUUACCGGUACCAAAACAAAAGGCCCCGCUAACUUCCGG
rnacentral:rRNA from 1 species